rnacentral:tRNA from 1 species
GUAGCUCAGCCGGUAGAGCACAACACUUUUAAUGUUGGGGUCCUGGGUUCGAGUCCCAGC